GCAUGCCUACAACAUAGUGUUAAUGCAUCAUAUCCCAUUAGAACUCCGUAGUUAAGCAUGUUAAAGCUAGAGUAGUACUGGGUUGGGUGACUGCCUAGGAAAUCCUAGUGUUUUACAUGCC
rnacentral:rRNA from 1 species